rnacentral:rRNA from 1 species
UACAGAGGGGGCAAGCGUUGUUCGGAAUUACUGGGCGUAAAGGGUUCGUAGGUGGCCACUUAAGUCAGACGUGAAAUCCCUCAGCUUAACUGGGGAACUGCGUCUGAUACUGAGUGGCUUGAGUGCAGGAGAGGGAUGCGGAAUUCCAGGUGUAGCGGUGAAAUGCGUAGAUAUCUGGAGGAACACCGGUGGCGAAGGCGGCAUCCUGGACUGUAACUGACACUGAGGAACGAAAGCCAGGGGAGCAAACGGG